UGUUGAACUUUUAGAGAAAAAUUUCAAACAAACUUUUGUACAUCAAUAUCGAUGAACAUCAAUCCUUCCCUUUGCUCAAGUGCAUCAUGCCAAACAUUGGAACAAGGGAAAUAAGAGCUCUGGUUGAGGAAAAUUGUUGAAAAUGGAUUUUAAUUCAUGACUUACUACCACAGAUACAAGAAUAUGUCAACAGAAUAUUUGAAUGGCUUGAGGGAAAUACUUAAGAUGAAAAAAGAGG